GACGAACGCUGGCGGCGUGCUUAACACAUGCAAGUCGAACGGAAAGGCCCUGCUUUUGUGGGGUGCUCGAGUGGCGAACGGGUGAGUAACACGUGAGUAACCUGCCCUUGACUUUGGGAUAACUUCAGGAAACUGGGGCUAAUACCGGAUAGGAGCUCCUGCUGCAUGGCGGGGGUUGGAAAGUUUCGGCGGUUGGGGAUGGACUCGCGGCUUAUCAACUUGUUGGUGGGGUAGUGGCUUACCAAGGCUUUGACGGGUAGCCGGCCUGAGAGGGUGACCGGCCACAUUGGGACUGAGAUACGGCCCAGACUCCUACGGGAGGCAGCAGUGGGGAAUAUUGCACAAUGGGCGGAAGCCUGAUGCAGCAACGCCGCGUGCGGGAUGACGGCCUUCGGGCUGUAAACCGCUUUCGCCUGUGACGAAGCGUGAGUGACGGUAAUGGGUAAAGAAGCACCGGCUAACUACGUG
rnacentral:rRNA from 1 species